GAUGAACGCUGGCGGCGUGCCUAAUACAUGCAAGUCGAGCGAACAGACGAGGAGCUUGCUCCUCUGACGUUAGCGGCGGACGGGUGAGUAACACGUGGAUAACCUACCUAUAAGACUGGGAUAACUUCGGGAAACCGGAGCUAAUACCGGAUAAUAUAUUGAACCGCAUGGUUCAAUAGUGAAAGACGGUUUUGCUGUCACUUAUAGAUGGAUCCGCGCCGCAUUAGCUAGUUGGUAAGGUAACGGCUUACCAAGGCGACGAUGCGUAGCCGACCUGAGAGGGUGAUCGGCCACACUGGAACUGAGACACGGUCCAGACUCCUAAGGGAGGCAGCAGUAGGGAAUCUUCCGCAAUGGGCGAAAGCCUGACGGAGCAACGCCGCGUGAGUGAUGAAGGUCUUCGGAUCGUAAAACUCUGUUAUUAGGGAAGAACAAAUGUGUAAGUAACUAUGCACGUCUGGACGGUACCUAAUCAGAAAGCCACGGCUAACUACGU
rnacentral:rRNA from 1 species